rnacentral:lncRNA from 1 species
UCAAACUCUCAACCACAUGUAAUCUAAUAGCACAAAAAAACUACAAAAAUGGACAAGAAAGUGGUAAAGCCAGCGAAACCAAGAGAUCUGGCAGAGUUUGGUGGAGCAACAGUACUAGGUGGUGUGGCAGUUGGUGGUGAGGGUGGUGAACCAGAAGCUGGGGCAGGUGUAGGUGGUGUGGCAGUUGGUGGUGAGGGUGGUGAACCAGAAGCUGGGGUAGGUGCAGGUGGUGAUGGACCAGAAGCUGGAGUAGGAGUGCUAGGUUGAGGAGCAGGAGUAGAAGGUUGAGGAGCAGGAGUGCUAGGUUGAGGAGCAGGAGUGCUAGGUUGAGGAGAAGGAGAAGGUUGAGGAGUUGGAGUAGAAGGUUGAGGAGCAGGAGAAGAUGUCUGAGGAGUUGGAGUAGAAGGUUGAGGAGCAGGAGAAGAUGUCUGAGGAGCUGGAGAAGGAGAAGAAGAUGCAGCACUAACAUUGAUCAUCAUCUUUUGACCAGCAGAGCAAUGGCCAGUAAAAUUGCAAAUGAAAUAGUGCUCUCCUGAAGCGUCAAGGUUGAUUCU